AUGUUUUCUGUAGCUCUGCUGCUGCUGCUGGCAGCUGGAUGUGUGAAGUGUGAACAGUUGACACAGCCAGCCUCUGUGACUGUGCAGCCAGGUCAGAGUCUGACCAUCACCUGUCAGGUCUCUUAUUCUGUUAGUGGCUACUGGACAGCCUGGAUCAGACAGCCUGCAGGGAAAGGACUGGAGUGGAUCGGUAGCGGAGCUGGAUCCACCAGAUUCUACAAAGAUUCACUGAAGAACCAGUUCAGUAUCGACUUAGACGCCUCUAACAACAGAGUGACUCUAAACGGACUGAAUAUGCAGCCUGCAGACACUGCAGUGUAUUACUGUGCCAGAGACCCCUCUGAUUCUGCUGCUGAGCGUUGGAUCCUGUAA